rnacentral:rRNA from 1 species
GACGAACGCUGGCGGCGUGCCUAAUACAUGCAAGUAGAACGCUGAAGGAGGAGCUUGCUCUUCUGGAUGAGUUGCGAACGGGUGAGUAACGCGUAGGUAACCUGCCUGGUAGCGGGGGAUAACUAUUGGAAACGAUAGCUAAUACCGCAUAAGAGUAGAUGUUGCAUGACAUUUACUUAAAAGGUGCAAUUGCAUCACUACCAGAUGGACCUGCGUUGUAUUAGCUAGUUGGUAGGGUAAAGGCUUACCAAGGCGACGAUACAUAGCCGACCUGGGAGGGGGGACGGCCAAACUGGGAAUGAGAAAAGGCCCAGGAUCCUUAGGGAAGCAGCAGUAGGGGAACUUCGGCAAUGGGCGGAAGGCCGGACGAGCAAAGCCGCGGGGGUGAAGGAGGUUUUCGGAUCGUAAAGCUCUGUUGUUAGAGAAGAAAGAGUGUGGGAGUGAAAAAUUCACACUGUGACGGUAUCUUACCAGAAAGGGACGGCUAACUACGUG